CAGAGGCAUGUGUUUUGUUAGUCCUGACUAAGGCCUGCUGACCUGGCCUGCGAGAUUGAUCUUGGACCUGCUUCAUCACUUACAGGUUUCUUUGGCCACCAUUGACUGGAACAGGUUACAGAUCUUCCUUACUCUGCUUGCUUAGAUGCCACAGAGGAUUAUUCUGUUUGUUUCUAAAGCAAACUUCAAAGAUGAAAAAUUUGGAAAAAUCAGAGAAAGCAGUGGAUGUACAAGGCUAAUUCAGAACAACCUUUCUGGAAUUACCACUGCAACCACUGGAGCAAAUAUGAUGAAGAGAAUUACCAGCACUGUUACUCAAUAUAAAUGGCUCAGAAAAUGCCUUUCCUCCCUCUGUAAAAUAUCCAUCUCAAAUGUUUAA
rnacentral:lncRNA from 1 species